rnacentral:rRNA from 1 species
UACGAAGGGGGCUAGCGUUGUUCGGAAUUACUGGGCUUAAAGCGUGUGUAGGCGGAUCGUUAAGUGCCUUGUGAAAUCCCACGGCUCAACCGUGGAACUGCUUGGCAUACUGGCGGUCUUGAGCAACCUAGGGGCGAGCGGAACAAAUGGUGGAGCGGUGAAAUGCGUAGAUAUCAUUUGGAACGCCAAUGGUGAAAACAGCUCGCUGGGGGUUUGCUGACGCUGAGACACGAAAGCCAGGGGAGCAAACGGG